UACGGGGGGAGCAAGCGUUGUUCGGAUUUACUGGGCGUAAAGGGCGCGUAGGCGGCGUGACAAGUCACUUGUGAAAUCUCCGGGCUUAACUCGGAACGGUCAAGUGAUACUGUCGUGCUAGAGUACAGAAGGGGCAACUGGAAUUCUCGGUGUAGCGGUGAAAUGCGUAGAUAUCGAGAGGAACACCUAUGGCGAAGGCAGCUCGCUGGGACGUUACUGACGCUGAGGCGCGAAGGCGUGGGGAGCGAACGGG
rnacentral:rRNA from 1 species